GCACGCGGUAAGGUAACGCCGCUCUAGCGGCGGCGGCGGGUUCGACUCCCGGCGCGUGCA
rnacentral:tRNA from 1 species